CCCUUAGAUGUCCGGGGCCGCACGCGCGCUACACUGAAGGAAUCAGCGUGGCUCUGUCCCUGGUCCGAAAGGAUUGGGAAACCCGUUGAAUCUCCUUCGUGAUAGGGAUUGGGGCUUGGAACUGUUCCCCAUGAACGAGGAAUUCCCAGUAAGCGCGAGUCAUAAGCUCGCGUUGAUUACGUCCCUGCCCUUUGUACACACCGCCCGUCGCUACUACCGAUUGAGUGAUCCGGUGAAUAAUUCGGACUGCAGCACUGCUUGGUCUCCAGGCUUUGCAGCGGAAAGUUUAGUGAACCUCAUCACUUAGAGGAAGGAGAAGUCGUAACA
rnacentral:rRNA from 1 species